rnacentral:tRNA from 1 species
UAAAACGGUCUUUAAAACAAAAUUUUCAUUGUAAAUGAAAUAUCAAUUUGAUUUCAUUUU